UGCGCCGUGGAGCAAUUGGCAGCUCACCAGUCUCAUAAGCUGGAGCUUCGGGUUCGAGUCCCGGCGGCGCUA
rnacentral:tRNA from 1 species